rnacentral:ncRNA from 1 species
UACCUGGUUGAUCCUGCCAGUAGUCAUAUGCUUGUCUCAAAGAUUAAGCCAUGCAAGUCUAAGUACGAGCUCUCGUACAGGAAACUGCGAAUGGCU